rnacentral:rRNA from 1 species
GAUAAACGCUGGCGGCGUGCUUCAGGCAUGCAAGUCGAACGGACUAUAGGACUUCGGUCCUGUGGUUAGUGGCGGACGGGUGAGUAACACGUAAGUAACCUGCCCAGAAGUGGGGAAUAACUAGCCGAAAGGCUGGCUAAUACCGCAUGUGAUGGUCCUUCCCUGGAGGGAUCAUUAAAGGCUUCGGUCGCUUCUGGAGGGGCUUGCGGCUGAUUAGCUUGUUGGUGGGGUAACGGCCUACCAAGGCAACGAUCGGUAGCUGGUCUGAGAGGACGGACAGCCACAC